CACGUAGGGUGCGAGCGUUGUCCGGAAUUAUUGGGCGUAAAGAGCUUGUAGGCGGUUUGUCGCGUCUGCUGUGAAAAUCCGAGGCUCAACCUCGGACUUGCAGUGGGUACGGGCAGACUAGAGUGUGGUAGGGGAGACUGGAAUUCCUGGUGUAGCGGUGAAAUGCGCAGAUAUCAGGAGGAACACCGAUGGCGAAGGCAGGUCUCUGGGCCACUACUGACGCUGAGAAGCGAAAGCAUGGGGAGCGAACAGG
rnacentral:rRNA from 1 species